rnacentral:rRNA from 1 species
AACGAACGCUGGCGGCAGGCCUCAAACAUGCAAGUCUAGGGGGUGUAGCAAUACAUCACCGGCGGACGGGUGCGUAACACGUGGGAAUAUACCUUUUGGUUCGGAACAACGCAGGGAAACUUGCGCUAAUACCGAAUGUGCCCUUACGGGGAAAGAUUUAUCGCCAAAGGAUUAGCCCGCGUAGGAUUAGCUAGUUGGUGAGGUAAUGGCUCACCAAGGCUCCGAUCCUUAGCUGUUCUGAGAGGAAGAUCAGCCACACUGGGACUGAGACACGGCCCAGACUCCUACGGGAGGCAGCAGUUGGGAACCUUGGACAAUGGGGGAAACCCUGAUCCAGCCAUGCCGCGUGAGUGAUGAAGGCCUUCGGGUUGUAAAACGUACUUUCGACGGGGACGGAUAAUGACGGUACCCGUACGAAGAAGACUCCGGCUAAACUUCUGCCAGCAG